AGCGAACGCUGGCGGCAGGCUUAACACAUGCAAGUCGAGCGGGCGUAGCAAUACGUCAGCGGCAGACGGGNGAGUAACGCGUGGGAACGUACCUUUUGGUUCGGAACAACACAGGGGAAACUUGUGCUAAAUACCGGAUAAGCCCUUACGGGGAAAGAUUUAUCGCCGAAAGAUCGGCCCGCGUCUGAUUAGCUAGUUGGUGAGGUAACGGCUCACCAAGGCGACGAUCAGUAGCUGGUCUGAGAGGAUGAUCAGCCACAUUGGGACUGAGACACGGCCAAACUCCUACGGGAGGCAGCAGUGGGGAAUAUUGGACAAUGGGCGCAAGCCUGAUCCAGCCAUGCCGCGUGAGUGAUGAAGGCCCUAGGGUUGUAAAGCUCUUUUGUGCGGGAAGAUAAAUGACGGUA
rnacentral:rRNA from 1 species